rnacentral:lncRNA from 1 species
UUUUUUUUUGGUAAACUGAAUUUAUAACAAGGUCAAAGCCAAAAAAGAGGGAAGUCCACAACAAGGAUCAACCAACAAAUAUAACACAAAGAAACUACUUCAGGUGAUAGAGGAAGCAAGGACCCGACACAAACCACAACAUUGUGUCACCCUAAAUCACUUGAACCAAAUCAAGACUUAAGGUGGACACGGUAAACUAUCCUUGUUCAAGAUAUGAACUAUCGAAGAUGAAGGUCUCUCAACCCAAGUAUAAUCGCUCAUCUCUGAGUUCUUGGAAGAAGCUAAUCGAUCAGCAACCAUGUUGGCCGAUUUAGGCACCCAGGACCAAUGACACAUCUAGAAAAAAGUUGUUCGCACACAUAAUUUUCCUUAAGCCUGGAACCAUGUCCCAUCUGCCAUUGAAUAUGGAAUUACUUAAGCUUAAAAUUACUUCCUUUGAAUCUGAUUCCAUAACGAUUUUAUCUAACUCCAAGUUCUUGGCAAGCAUACACCCAUCCAAGAUCGCCUUUUGCUCCGCCACUUGAACGCUUAACGCCGAGAUACAUGAUUUCCUUGCAGUAACAAACUUACCAUUUGAAUCUCUAAUUACCAUUGCAAAUAUUUCCUUUCUUCAUUGUAGCAUUCCAGCUAACAUCCAUAUUAACUUUAAACAAUGACCAAUCAGGUGGAGACCAAGCAAAGAUGGGUUAAGAAUUACCAUGGAGAUUUCCAUGGUUGUUUGAGCUUGUCCGCCUCCCACUUG